AGACGCUCCGAGAUGCCGAAGGGCCAGCAGCGGCCCCGAAGCUCCGGGCUGGCCGCGCUGUCGCUCUGCCGCGCCCCGGUCUCGAAGUGAAGGUGCCUCUUCCUGGCUAGCCCACCUACAUGCUGUCAUCACUGGGCUUCUGCAACUCUCAGUCUUUGUGGCUGCACCCUUCCCUUCUGAAUCCUGAGGACCCAUGAGUGUCAGGCCCAUCAUGAAAUUGGUCGUCUUACUGGGUACGUAGGUCAUGCAGGAACGGGUCCUUGCAAGAGGACUACCAAGCGACUGAAUAGGUUUUAAUCUGGAUUGGGGCCUAGGAGUUAUUCACAGGUGUUUUGAACCUUCAGCACAGGAGUCUUUCCCCUGCAGCUUUCCCGAGGCUGUACAGCAUUUAUUGGUGCUCAUCUGUUUGAGUAGAGCUGGCAUAGAGGACUGCCACCGGCUGGGAGGGGCCAUGGUACCAGAGGUCUUGGGUGCCUGAAGAUACUCCCCCUAGCCCUGAUGCCUUGGAAGAGAAGCCCUUCAAGACAAGCUGAUGCCAGGCCCUGGCCAGAGGUGGGGACAGAUGGCAUUUCCUGCUCAGUGUGUGGGCCUGGGCCCCAUUGCUUGGGGGAGUUCCAUGAGUGUUAACAGGAUUCAAAGGAAGAGGUAGGAACUUAGGGGCGAUCCUGUUGGAAAGAUAUCAUUUGGAGAAGUGAGGGGGAGCUUGAAGCAAAGGGGUCUGUGUCCUGAGGAAAGUCUGGUACCCUCUGAUACCUCUUUCCCCAUUGAUGCUGACUGAUCUUGCUUUUGGGCUGAUCUGUCAAGAAGACUGGCAUGUUUCCACUGGAGAUCUGUCCUUUUUUUCUCCCCAGUGCCCCCACUGUUGGUCAGUGGGCAUUGUGAGGAUCAAGGCUACUGGACACUGAGUAGCAACUCAGAAUCCAUCUCGGGGAGGUUCUGAGGGUCAGCCUGGGCAUGGAGAGAGGCAGGUGGCACUUCUUGGUGGGUGUGGUAGCAGAGAAAUCCUAGAAGUUGCAACCGCACCCCUCCUCGUCUGGAGUGACAGGGGAGUGGCCUGAGCCCUGCUCCCCAGCUGUCCAAGGCAAACUGACUGGAGUCCAUCUGGCUGUCCCCACCAGAUCAGGCUCCCUUCCCAUCCUGGAACACCAAAGCUGCUAAGUCUGCAGAAAGCACAGCAGAGGGAUGCCUAGAUCAGGGGUCUACCUAGGCACACCUGGAGCUAAGCUGCAUGGGGGGUGGGGGGUGAGGGUGGGGAGAUGCCCAAGGGCAGCCAAGGGUACCUUCAAUGGCCUUUCUUCCUAGGUUCUAUGUAAUGGUGGCUACACACUUCCCUGAUGACUGUCAUUUAAGGCAUACAUAAUUCUCCUUCCAGAACCUGUCUCUUCAUUGUUAUCAUGGUCAUCUAUUCACAAUAUCCUCUGUCACUUUAGAAUAUAUUGCUUAUAAAAAGACUUGAGAGGUAUCUUGGGUUGCAUAAGCCUCCAAA
rnacentral:lncRNA from 1 species